UUUUGCAGGCGGUGGCUCAACUUGCUGGGCCACAACAAGAACCCCAAUCCAGUUCCUUUCCAAUGCACCUGGAAAGCACUUGAAAAAAUACCUGCACCUCUGUCACUCAUGUGGUACACCAGGAUGGUGUGCCAGGCUCCUGGCUGUUGUGGCUACUGGGGAGUAAACCAGCAGAUGGAAAAUAUCUCUCUCUUCUCUCUACACUUGAUCUUAGCUGUGGGGCUCCAUGGGAUGCACAGCCAUGGAGCCCCCACGUCAAGGUCGGUCUGAUAGCUGUUGCUGUGUCUUUAUCACAUGGCGGAUGUUGCUAGUUUCGGUUAGGGCAAUGCUUUCCCAUGGUCGGGACUUUCCAGAGGAGUUGAGAAUGUUGUAAACAACAAGAUGGCGCCUGAGGACCGUGCGGUGAGCCUGCCUGCUGCGUGACACCUCAUCUGAUUGGCCCGAGGACGCGUGCACACUGCGUGAACAGACAGCGGAUUGGAGUGUUCCGUGUAUGGACUUGAGCCUGCUUGCAAUUGGCCAGAUUUUGUAUAUAAGCUAUGUGCUGAGGAAGGAGGGGGCUUUCCUGUCCACUCUCCUCCUUUCAUUCUUUCUCUGUCACUGUUAUUUUCCCAUUAAAAAUCUACUGAAGACCGAUAAGCUGCAAACAGUGUCGUUCCUUUGCGGGCAAGGGAGCGGCAAGUGGUGCCGUGACUCGGAUCCAGACCACUUUCUACACACAGGAAUAGGUAAGGAACAAAAGGUAAGCGUGCGUGUGCAUGGAAAUCCAGCUGGGGAAAGAAUAGAAACCGCGGUUCCGUCGAAGAAAGACGGGGAAACUAAGCGCCAGAAAAAAGGGUAAAGGAAUCCCUUAAAAGGCGGGAGUACAAAGUGUUCAGAAAUGCCAGGAAAUAGGCGGAAACUUCCUUUUUACCUCCAAAUGGACAAUACUCAGAAACUUCCUUUUUACCUCCAAAUGGACAAUACUCCGUCCACCACUAGGUUGCGCAUGCUGUUGAGCUGCUUGUUAAAAGCUGUGGGGACGCCCAUUAAGGCGGCUACAGUAUGCACAUUCACUAGGGCCGUUGCCAAGACGUCACCAUGGUUUGUGGAAGGUGGCCAAUUAGAUGAGCAACAGUGGCAGAGAGUAGGGAGACAGUUGAGAGCAGCCGGAGAGCCGGUAGAAAUACUUAGAUUAUGGCAACUCACUGACCAGACACUUCAGAACCCCACUGAGAGCAUAGGGCUUUUACUUGAUGAAGGAUGUGAGCUCCUAGAGAAGGUUCAGGAGGAGUCUCGGCAUGAUAGUCAAUCUAGUGACUGUGGUAGUCAGUUGGACAGGAAACAGAUGGACAAAGGUCCCUGUAGGGACGAGCCACUGGAUGAGACAGAGGAAAAUUCAAUGAAGGACCAUCCCCCAUUGAGUGCACCCCUGCGCUCGAGGGGGCCAUCUCAUUUAUAUCCCAGUUUGACUAGGCUAGCAAAUUUGUCCUUAGAGGAUGAACCGCCACUGUGGUAUCAUCCAUUGACUCUCCCUAAAUCAGCCCCUAGGAAAAAAAAAAAAAAGCUAUAAAGACUCCAUUACAGAUACAGGGAAUAGGGUUAAACAAGGUGAGCCAUAGAACGGUCGGUUCAUUAAUGCUAUAAAAAUAGUCAGUCCUUGGUUCGAAAAAGGAGUCGUGAAUAAGCAACAUUGGGAUUUACUCAGAAAAAACUUAAAUGUGCAUUUAAAAAAACAAAGCAAGCCGUGACAAAGGCUGUGAAAACUUUGUUACAGAUGUAGAAAAUAGGGUUAAAGAAACAAACUGUAGAGCAGCUUAUCAGUGCUGUUAAAAAAUUAGUCCUUGGUUUGCUGAAGAGGGUGUUGUGAAUAAGAAACACUGGGAGUAAAAAAUAUAGAUCAGUGUACACUGGACAGCCCUCACCUUGCAUUUAAAUAUUUCAUUUGAAGUAAAUGUUCUCUGUUAUAAAGUUCAUAUUACUAUGUGAAAUGAGAAAUUGUGGUGACAAAGUGUCCGGACUAUCCAUUCUGUUUUUGUUUUAUGUACUAACUCUACCCCUAUUAUUGAUAGGAAUGCUUGAGCAGAUUAUGCUUGGUUUGCUUUACAAAAAGAAAAAAAAUGUAAGUCAAAAUAUGCCACAAGUAGUUAGGAUUCCACAAACCUGCAAAAAUGUAAUAAUUACAGAUAAUAAGAGGCUAGUUCCCUCAGAUAUGUUUCAAUUUAUCCUUAAAACACAUUGAAUAUUAUUGUGUGUAAUUGGUAAAUGUAUGCUUGUAUGAAAAAUUUGUAUUAUAUUCUUAUGAUGUAUUAAUUAUGCCUAUACCUUGGUGCAACCCUAGGGCCAAAUGUAAGGACAGAUUUUUGGGAUGGAGAGGCUUGUAUCUAGGUUUGGCUCUGAUCAACAAGUAACUUGUCUGCUGGAUGACCUUCUCCUGCUCCUUGGGAGCCUGGCCAGCUCCCGGGGCGGGGGAUAAAGGAAGGUUUUCUGAUAAACAGGUGGGCAUGCUUCAUGUCUCUGCUCUCUGGCCAAGAUCCAGGAUGGGACGCACUGCUUGCCUAACAUCUUGGCAAUGAGCCACCCUUGUCCUUGAGGGAUUUAAGGAGUAGCCGGAGCAAGCCUCUGCUGCUGCUGUUUCAUCCUGGGGGAAUAUGCAGUCAAGCUGAAUGUUAAACAUGCCCGUGAUGAUUACUAAUGAUGUUUAAUUCUCAGUAUGGAUCCUUUUCUGGUGCUGUGUGAAGAUUGCCUAGUAAUGCCCAUAGUACUGUAAAUUCUACAAAACAUAACUACAACACAUAUAUGGAUCGAUUGGCUAUGGUGGCUGAGGUGUUCUGUGACAGUCCCUUUAAUAAAAAAUUAACAAAUUAAAUUAAUUUAAAAAACAGAACAUUCAGAACCUGCCACUCUGCUCGGUAUGUCAUUACAAAAAUCAACAAGAAGGACUAUGCCUGAUAAGUGAGGGUGCUAUCAAUAUGGGCAACAGGGACAUGUACAAAUAUUGUCCAAAAGUCAAACAUCAAAAAAGCCCCUCCUCCUGGGAUUUGCCCCUGGUGCUAAAGGAAAAGGCAUUGGGCCAAUAAAUGUCACUCCAAAACUGAUAAAAAAAAAAAAAGAUAAUUCCUUAAAUAAAUAAAGUUCAGAAAACUAAAAGCAGGGCUGGCCCCAGGCCCCAUCCCAACAAAUUUUGGGGGCCAUGACAUUUGUUCCUCAACAGAACACCCUAAAUCUGUCAAUUUCCUCCACAGAGCCACAGAGGGUAGUGCAGGACUGGACCUCAGUGCCACCUCCUAUACAGUAUUGACCCCUGAGAUGGGCCCACAAGGCCUCCCUACUGGGAUUUUUGGUCCUUUGCCAACUAGGUUUUUUGGUCUCCUACUGGGCAGAAGUAGUAUAACUAUGAAAGGGUUACAGGUUUUUCCUGGAGUUAUAAACACUGACUUUACUGGUGAGAUAAAAAUUAUGACUCAAGCCAAUAAUGUAACUUUAACUCCAGGACAAUGCAUUGCUCACUUGAUUCUGUUCCCCUUCUCUUCAAUUGGUAAGUCUUUUUUAAAUAAAAGAGAAAAUAAUGGUUUUGGAUCUUCUGAUGCUUAUUGGAUACAACCCAUAACUAAGGACCAACCCAAAUUUUUCUUAAAAUUAAAUAAAAAGUUAUUCAGUGGUCUUUUAGAUACUGGAGCUCAUGUCUCUGUUAUUUCAGCAGCGAGCUGGUCCACAAAUUGAAAAAAGAAAAUUACCAUAACUCAAUUGCAAGGUAUUGGUCGGAGUCAAAGAUUAACACAAAGUUCCAAAUUGCUGCAAUGGGAGGAUGAAGCAGAUGGACGUUUUGCAGCUGAUCAACAGUGGCAUCCACAAACAGCUGGGGUAAGAACAAUGGUACAAUGGAAGGAUCCUAUCACCAAUCAAUGGAAUGGACCUGAUCCAGUACUGGUAUGGGACAUGGGCUCUUAAGGGAUGGGUAUUUUUAUGCAACCAAUUUGCUUUUGCAUUGUUAGCCCCUAAUGAUUUUUGCAACUGCUCAUUGGGCCGUGUGGCCCCGAUGCUAACAUCUGUAUUUCCAAAGGCAUGACAGCGACGCUCAUUACCUUAGAACUGUGAUGAUGAUGUCAUCUUAAUUGGAGACCUGCUUUCACCAUGGCUAUACAGCUAGUGGGAGUUCCUGGAUUGGCUUAUGGAAAUAAUCGUGGACUGUGAAGGCUUACACGUUUGGUGGCCAAAACAAUCAAUCUUACUGCUACUGCGCUAUCCACUAUAGCUGAAGAAUUGGAUCAAGUUCGUUCAGGAGUACUCCUAAACCGAGCAGCUAUCGAUUAUUUGCUGUUAAAAGAUCAUAUAAGCUGUAAAUCUGUACCAGGGGAAUGUUGUUUUAAUAUUACUAACAAUGCCAUAUAUAGAGUCUGUUAUUGAUAAACUUAAGAGUAAAAUGCAACAUAUGUUUUUUACUAACCCACUAACAUUUGAAGGGUUUCAAUGGAUUCGUUGGUUAUUAAUGCGGGCUGGAUUGCUACUGCUUUUCAUACUUUGUAUGGGAUGUUUUCCGUGUGUUCUGCAAUUUGUGCUAACUUCGCUACAGUCUGUAUGGACAGACAUUCAUCACUUAAAACUUCGUACCAAACCUCCUUUGUAAUCAAAAAUAAUUAAUAUUUGGCUGUAUGUUUCAUCUCUCACCUAAUGUUGGGCUAAAAUGGUACUCAAAAAUGGGUAAGACACUCCACAUCCUGUACCUACCUAAGACAGGGCUCAAGUUAAAGAAUGGGUCGCUAUCGGUUGCUUGUUUGUCGUGGUACUACUGGGCCUUGCCUUCAUCGCCAGAUGGAUCAGAGCCUUAGCACUCCGUCAGCAGAAUACCAACUUGAUAAUCCAACAGGCUAUGCUGGCCACCUUGCGAUCUCACCCCAAUAAAAAAGUAUGGCUUAGCAUGAUGGAGCGGUAGUCAAAGACGGGUAAACACUGAUGGGCGCUCCUAGCAACCUAAGACAGAGGGUAGGACAGGCUUCCUAUUACCUCCAUGACGGGUAAGCAGGUAGCGCGCCAUUGGGUACCUAAGACAGGCACAUUUCCAUGCCAUUUAAAUAAUAAAGAAGGGGGAGAUGUGGGGCUCCAUGGGAUGCACAGCCAUGGAGCCCCCACGUCAAGGUCGGUCUGAUAGCUGUUGCUGUGUCUUUAUCACAUGGCGGAUGUUGCUAGUUUCGGUUAGGGCAAUGCUUUCCCAUGGUCGGGACUUUCCAGAGGAGUUGAGAAUGUUGUAAACAACAAGAUGGCGCCGAGGACCGUGCGGUGAGCCUGCCUGCUGCGUGACACCUCAUCUGAUUGGCCCGAGGACGCGUGCACACUGCGUGAACAGACAGCGGAUUGGAGUGUUCCGUGUAUGGACUUGAGCCUGCUUGCAAUUGGCCAGAUUUUGUAUAUAAGCUGUGUGCUGAGGAAGGAGGGGGCUUUUCUGCCCACUCUCCUCCCUUCAUUCUUUCUCUGUCACUGUUAUUUUCUCAUUGAAAGUCUACUGAAGACCGAUAA